rnacentral:lncRNA from 1 species
UUUGAUACUGUUGCAUACUUAGCCUAGUUCUAAUAUAAGUCUUGCGAGUACUUUGGAUGAGUACUCGCCGUUGCUUUGCUCCCCCUUUACCCCCUUGAUCCGUUACUGCGACCAGAUGAUGGAGCCCAGGAGAUGGCGUAUCCUGCCGACGACGACUGCUACCCCGAUGAUGCCUACUACUACGUGGAGGCCGCUGAAGUCCAGGAAUAGUUAGGAGGUUCCGAGGCAGGACGUCUCGCGUCGUUCGAUCGUGUAUCUUUUGUGCUAGCCUUCUCUAAGGCACCCCAUGUUUAAUGUCUGUACUCAGAGAUUGUUGCUUCCGCUAACUCGUGUGUUUAUCGAGCUUCCGUAUUCUACCCCUCAAGGUCCCUCGUUUGUAAUAUGAAGCUUGUAUGUUUUAUUUAUGUCUAGAGUUGUGUUGUGAUAUCUUCCCGUGAGUCCUUAAGUUUGACCGUACGCAUUUGCGUGUAUGUUUAGCGCACGAUUAAAUCUAGGACGUCACAGCCCUGUCUUCACGAAAUGAUGAGCAUGCCAUUUGAAUGGGGAUCCAUUGAGCCACACACAAACUUCAUGAUAUGGACUUCAUGAUAUGUAGAUGCAGGUGGAACCACCGGGUUGUAGCAACUCCUAGGCCUGGUGGAGGAACCGGUUGCUCUCGAAGAUAUUUAGAUGCAGGUCACAACGUGAAGGUGAGGUGGUGGCAUGAUGUAUGGCCACAGUGCCACACACAAACUUCAUGAUAUGUAGAUGUAGGUGACACAACGCUUGAUGUAUGGCCGCCUUUUUAUUUUAUGUGUUUUUAGCAAAUACUUCCACAUUACCAUUUAUUGAAAUACACAAAAGGAAAUUUGAAGUCUUAAUAUUUUUUCAUACAUGUAAACAUAUUUUUUCUAAAAUAUAAAAAUAUUUGUUCCGAAAUACAUGUUUUUUUUGCAAGUAAGUUAACACUCUAUUUGUAGUCAAACAACUAGUUUAGAAUACAUGUUUAUUCUUUCAAUACCUAGAUAGUUUUUAUCAUUUACAACAUUUUUAGAACAUAUAUAAAACAAAAACACAUGUUUCUCAUUUUUAUAAAAAAAAUGUGAAAUGUGUCACGCUAGUGGCUGGCUAUAAAUGUACCUUGUUGUAUUGGGAACAUAUACAAUUUAAAAACUAUUAGUGUAGUUCUAAACGAAAUAAAGUACAAAAGAAACAUCGGUUAUCGUGUAUGUUGAAAUUAUUCAAUUGGUUAUCUUUUCCCUAAAAUGUUUGUAUAAAUGAUAAAAUUGUUCAAACAUUAAAAAUUACUUGAUGAUAACCCAACGUUAUUGCGGGAAUUGUUUGCUCUAUAUUUUGAUGAAGUUGGAACAUGAGUAUUCGAUUAUUGUAUAGUUGUAGGAUAUUUAUCAAAAAUUGUAGGAUAAUUGUUUUCACAUGCAUGGUUGCAUGUUGUGGUGGAUCUCUUCUCAUGCAUGUUAGCAUGUACAGGUAGCUAUUUUCUCAUGCAUAGUUACAUGAUGAGGUAAACCUCAAAAAAAGUUACAUGAUAAGGUGGGAUAGUUGCAUGGAGAUAAAUACAAGUAGUGGAGAUCACUCUCUACACGUUGUUGUGAGGAUCUAUUGUAAUAUAUUUUAAUUAGAUUUGCUUUCUAUGAAACAUGAACAUUUGGGUAAUAAUAUGAAACUAAAACUAAAAAUCCAUAGAUUUAUUGUACUUGAUUAUUGUAUAGUUAUAAAAUGUUUAUUAAAUAUAGAGUGGAAAUUAUCAUGCACGUUUCCAUGCUACUGUGGGCCUUUCCCAUUAAUGUUGCAUGAUGUGGCACGCUUGUAUUGAGAGAAAUAUAUAAGUGAGGCUAGAUAUUUAGAUAUAUGAUUUUUCUUUUUGACAAAAGAUGCAAAUCUUAUAAAACAAAAAUGAUAGGAAAACGGAAAAUAGAGCAAGAAU